GGGGGGCCUCAGUUGGCAUCAAACAGCAACAUCGUGCCGUUGAUAAACCCGGAGCGAAGGCGCUUAAACUAUCCUAACAAAGGACAUCUCGAACAGUUCCUUAUCAUCUCAAGACCGCUCUGCAAUCCUGCAUGCUGUACUGUUGCGGAAGUAAGGACGAGGAGAAGGAGCGCACGGAAAAGGACGAUGUUUUACUGAAAAGGGUGACAGAAUCUUCAGUGAAGAAUCCUGGCAACACCUUUCACUCGGAGUCCGAGAUGUACGGAUCCGUGGGCAUGCCCGAACUUCUGCCUCCUAGUGGGGUGUUUCAGCCAAGUCCCCAUGACCCGUGUCAGGUGCGACAACUGACUGGUGACCUAAACCAAGGCACUAUAGACCCCAACUCACACCAGCAGAGGUUAGGCCGAAGGGCUCCGAAGCUGGGACAAAUCGGACGGUCAAAGAGAGUGGUCAUUGAAGAUGAGGACUUGGAUGACAUCAUGAACAACAAUGAAACACUAUCCUUCCCUAUCAGCCACUCGCCCGCCUGAAUACCUUAAUCAUGGAAUUCAGUUCAACUUUUGGCUUAACAUUUAUGACGCCCCGAGGCUACUCUGGUCAGCGGGCAAAACCUGGACACUGUUUCUUGAAGUCUUAAAUACGUUGUAGUACUUUAGCAGCAUGCGCAUCACAUGUAGUUUAGUCGCAAGGCUCUGUUGUCACCGGGAAAGAUCUGAUGAAAUGUGAAACUUUGGUGCGAGUCUGCUGCAGUUGUCCAGGUGCGUUAGCGUGAGGUUGUCGGCAGGGUUCGCUGAUAUACCAAGCACGCAAUUGCACAAUUUUUUUCAGGUAGCAUACACAACACAGACAACACUGUGAACGAGUAGGCCUAGAUGUUUUUAACAUUGACUAGCCUACUUUCGCGGUCCUAGCAAAGUAUCGAAAAUAUAGAUGCAACGUUGUACACAGCCUACUCUCUAUACGGAUAUUCAUUGUUAUAAUUAGUGUUUCCCCUACAAGUUAUUCAACCAUAAAUGGAAAUUAGCUGUGAGAAUAUUCAUUGGUAUUGUUAAGACGUGAAUCAUGUUUACAUCAUAUUAUGCAAAAUAAUGCCUUAUAUGUUCAUGGAUAUGUCAGUCACUGCCAUUGACUUUAAAGAUUAUUUUAACGUAUUUUUCUAAAACACACCUGACAUGUAUUCUUGAUUGUUAUUCAUUUAAUUAUGUCGAGAGUGCAUAAUGCCCAUAUUACGCACAAAUAUUUUACGCACAAAUUAUGUAUCAACCGUUUUACGUUAGACUGGCUUACCUAGUUUUCUGAAUUUCGCUGAUUAGAGAAACCACUAGCACUGUGAGUUUGUAUAGCUUACAUCUCUCUCUCCCUCACACACACACACAGACACACUAACACUCCAUGAGAUUAUAGGUUAUGUUGUCGGUAAAAGAGGUUAUCAGUAGGCUAUUUAGUUUGGUGCUGGCCUUUCACUACAGCUUUGAAGGUACCUCAAUAAAACAGACUGCAUCCCCAUCAAUUGCAUAUCUUACCACAUAAAAAGCAUGUCGGUUCUGUUGCGUCCUUUUGUUUAAUGUACAAUAUGACCUUUAAAGGCUGCUGCUGUACCUGAGGAACUUAACUGUUGUAUUUCACCACCAGGGGGUGUCAAAGCCAAAGCAAUGACUAGAAUGUGCUUCAUGCAGGUGUCAAUUCCUCGCAUGCUUGUUUCAAACGCUGUGCUAUUUGUGUACAUAUUUAAUUUCUCUAUGUCUUGACUGAUUAAAUCUAAUAAUCAUUUUGAACUCUGUC